rnacentral:rRNA from 1 species
GAUGAACGCUGGCGGCGUGCUUAACACAUGCAAGUCGAGCGAUGAAGUUUCCUUCGGGAAACGGAUUAGCGGCGGACGGGUGAGUAACACGUGGGUAACCUGCCUCAUAGAGUGGAAUAGCCUUCCGAAAGGAAGAUUAAUACCGCAUAACGUUGAAAGAUGGCAUCAUCAUUCAACCAAAGGAGCAAUCCGCUAUGAGAUGGACCCGCGGCGCAUUAGCUAGUUGGUGGGGUAACGGCCUACCAAGGCGACGAUGCGUAGCCGACCUGAGAGGGUGAUCGGCCACAUUGGGACUGAGACACGGCCCAGACUCCUACGGGAGGCAGCAGUGGGGAAUAUUGCACAAUGGGGGAAACCCUGAUGCAGCAACGCCGCGUGAGUGAUGAAGGUUUUCGGAUCGUAAAGCUCUGUCUUUGGGGAAGAUAAUGACGGUACUCAAGGAGGAAGCCACGGCUAACUACGUGCCAGCCGCCGCGGUAA